ACUUGGAAGGCAGCGCCUUGAGCAAUACUCUUUGUCUGAUAACCUAGAAUACAUGUCCAAAGAAGUUGCACGACUCUACUGCAAUGUAUCAGCAGAGGAAAGGAUGAGUCUUUAUGAGCAGAAGACAAUCCGUGAUGAUAGUAACAUUGAUCAUCAAAGCAGUUUAUCAUUUCAAAAUGAGUAUCACAAGAUCGGCUCUUUGAACAGCAGAUAUAUCCCAAGUCUUCCGUCAAAGAGGCAGCAGCCGUAUACAAGCAGGGGGAGUAGUUAAGAAAUGGUGGCGAAAAGUGUUUAUUCAUCAACUAAACAACCAGACUUUAUAUCAAGACCAAAUUCAGAGCGUUACAAACGCUGCUAAUCUUUACUGUUUACUUUAACUGUCUGUUCACAUCCGGGUUGUGAUUGUAAAUCUGCCAUGUUAUUGCUGGCUCACUGACUAGCCAUUACAAUACAAUUACUUGAAGAAAUCUUAUUCGAAGGAAGGCGGAAAUAACAGCCAAAAGAAAAGGAAAAA
rnacentral:misc_RNA from 1 species